AUUGAACGCUGGCGGCAUGCCUUACACAUGCAAGUCGAACGGCAGCAUGAUCUAGCUUGCUAGAUUGAUGGCGAGUGGCGCACGGGUGAGUAAUACAUCGGAACGUGCCCUGUAGUGGGGGAUAACUAGUCGAAAGAUUAGCUAAUACCGCAUACGACCUGAGGGUGAAAGUGGGGGACCGCAAGGCCUCAUGCUAUAGGAGCGGCCGAUGUCUGAUUAGCUAGUUGGUGAGGUAAAGGCCCACCAAGGCGACGAUCAGUAGCUGGUCUGAGAGGACGAUCAGCCACACUGGGACUGAGACACGGCCCAGACUCCUACGGGAGGCAGCAGUGGGGAAUUUUGGACAAUGGGCGAAAGCCUGAUCCAGCAAUGCCGCGUGUGUGAAGAAGGCCUUCGGGUUGUAAAGCACUUUUGUCCGGAAAGAAAUGGCUCUGGUUAAUACCUGGGGUCGAUGACGGUACCGGAAGAAUAAGGACCGGCUAACUACGUG
rnacentral:rRNA from 1 species